CCUACGGGGGGCUGCAGUCGAGAAUCUUCGGCAAUGGACGAAAGUCUGACCGAGCGACGCCGCGUGCGGGAUGAAGGUCUUCGGAUUGUAAACCGCUGUCAGAGGGGAUGAAGUAUACAGGAGCAAUCUCUUGUAUUUGACAGAGCCUCAGAGGAAGCACGGGCUAAGUUCGUGCCAGCAGCCGCGGUAAUACGAACUGUGCGAACGUUAUUCGGAAUCACUGGGCUUAAAGGGUGCGUAGGCGGUCAUCUAAGUCACGUGUGAAAUCUUCCGGCUCAACCGGAAAACUGCGCGUGAUACUGGAUAACUUGAGUGAGGUAGGGGUGUGUGGAACUUCCGGUGGAGCGGUGAAAUGUGUAGAGAUCGGAAGGAACGCCAGCAGCGAAAGCGGCACACUGGGCCUUUUCUGACGCUGAGGCACGAAAGCUAGGGGAGUGAACGGGAUUAGAUACCCCAGUAGUC
rnacentral:rRNA from 1 species